AAAUAAAAAUUAUUAUAGUUUAUUUAAUUUAUUUUAAAUUUAUUUUACAUAUAAAUUUUAGUGUUGAUUUAAUUUUAUUUUAAUAAUUUUUAAAAAUUUAAAUGUAGUAAUUAAUAUUAAAUAUUUAAGAAAUUAAGAUUUAGUUAUAUUUAAAUUAAUAACAAAUUUUGUGCCAGCAGUUGCGGUUAAACAAAAGUUAAAUUAAAUUUUAUUAGUUAAUUAAUAAAUAUAUAGUAUUAUAUAAUUUAAAUUUUAAAUUAUUAAGUGAAAUUUUAAUUUAAUUUAAAAUUAUAAAUUUAUAUUAUGAUUUAAUAAAUUUUAUAAAAGACUAGGAUUAGAUACCCUAUUAUGAAAAUUUAAAAUUAAAAUACUAAAAUAGUAAUUAAUUAUUUAUUGAAACUUAAAUAACUUGGCGGUAUUUUAGUUCAUUUAGAGGAAUCUGUUUAAUAAUUGAUAAUCCACGAAUAAAUUUACUUGAUUUAUAAUUUUGUAUAUCGUUGUUAUAAAAAUAUUUUUUUUUAAUAAUAAUAUUUCAAAUUUAAAAUUUUAAAUUAAAUCAGAUCAAGAUGCAGAUUAUAAUUAAGAAUAUAAUGGAUUACAAUAAAUUUAUUUAAAUGAAUAUUAAUUUGUAAUAAUUGAUUGAAAGUGGAUUUAAAUGUAAUUUUAUUUAUUUUAAUAAAAUGAUUAAAAAUUGAAAUAUGUACAUAUUGCCCGUCGCUUUCAUAUGAAUAUAAAAUUGGAAUAAGUCGUAACAAAGUAGAGGUACUGGAAAGUGUUUCUAGAAAGA
rnacentral:ncRNA from 1 species